CAAUGGGCACAUCGGGGUUGUGGUGGUGACGACUGACGAGCGCGCCAGCAAGAGGGCCAAGCCAUGGCUGGAAUCCCACCGCGACGGUGGGGCUCUCUAUCGUGAACUUACUAAAUUUCUUUCUAUUGCUAAUUUGUCUCUUUAUAAGUGUAUCUUCAGACUACAAUGUACAAUCUGCAACUUGAUGUUAAUUGCGUAGGUUUAUCUUCAGACUGUUUUUUGGCUGACUUGAUGUUAAUUGCCAGUUUGUCUCCAUGAUGGUAAGACUCUUUCCCUCUCCGUGAGCCAAACUUGAUGCUAAUUGCGUAGCUAGUUGAUUGCACACUGUAUGUUGUCGUUCCAGACAGUGUGUACUUAAGAUUCGGUAAAAAUAUAGUCUGGUUAUGUUGCAGCAGGCACAUCAUAGAGUUAGUAUUGCAGACUGUACGCUGCCGUCCCAUUGCUAGUAAAUUUCUAUUGCUCUCUUCCAGACUGUAGUUUAUUCAGUAGGCUGAUGCAUUCUGCUCAAAAGGAGAAGAUGGUGAUUUUUUUUGCAAUAGUCAAGCACCAAGUCGUUGUCACUACAGAUUUGUGGACAGUGGGCUAUCAAAAGAGAGGUUACAUGGCUGUUACCGCGCACUACAUAGAUGAUUCUUGGAACCCAAAGAGCUUUCUUAUGAGGGUUGCUUAUGUGCCCUGCCCACAUUCGGCUGAGGUUAUAUGUGAAGCCUGGUAUGAGUGUCUUAUUGAGUGGCACCUUGAGAGGAAGAUAUCCACCGUCACUUUGGACAACUGCACAUCAAGUGACAAGGCUAUGGGAAUAUUGCCAGAUAAGUUGGAUACAAGCUCUCUCAUGUUGGAUGGUCAAUUACUGCAUAUGCGUUGUGCCGCUCACAUAUUAAACUUAAUUGUAAAAGAUGGAAUGAGUGUCUUAGAGAAAGGUAUAGAGAGGCUGCGAGACAGUGUUGCAUUUUGGUCAGCCACACCUAAAAGGCAUGAGAAGUUUGAAAAGGUGGCAAAAACUUUAAACAUAGAGUAUAACAAAAGGUUAACUCUUGAUUGUAAGACUAGAUGGAAUUCAACUUAUAUCAUGAUUAGCAUUGCAGUAUGAUACAUAGAGAUAUUUGAAAAAUUAAAGGCACAUGAAAAGAAGUUUAAGUGGUGCCCAACCAAAGAUGAUUGGAAGUUUGCAAAACAAAUAUGUGAUAGGUUGAAGCUCUUCUUUGAUAUCACUGAGUCAUUCUCGGGCACGAAGUAUGUUUCAGCAAAUCUUUUUUUCCUAAAGUGAUUACCAUUCGCUUAGCCAUAAGGAAAUGGGGUAAGAGUGACAUUGAGCUUAUAGAAAAAAUGUCCGAGGAAAUGAAGGAUAAGUUUGAGAAGUAUUGGAAAGAUAUCCAUGGUCUUAUGUCUGUUGCAACAAUUCUUGAUCCAAGGUAUAAACUUAAUAUCCUCAAUGCUCUUUAUGGUCCCUCUAUGGAAGAGAGCAUGCAUCCACAGAAAUAGAUAAGGUGAAGAAGUUAUUUAUUCAAUUGGUGAAGCAAUAUAAAUAUGAAGUUGAAGGCAAGGAUGCAUGCGAUGCUUCUGUUGCCGAUCCACAUGGAGAAGAAGAUGAAGCCAUGAAACUCUAUGAUCAGUAUUUGUCUAGUCACCCCAUUGUCCCUUCUUCUUCAAUUCGUACAGAAUUAGACUUGUAUUUGGAAAAAGCUCGUCUACCUAGAACACAAGAAUUGGAUAUCAUCAAUUGGUGGAAGGUUAGCGGCUCGAGGUUUCCUACCUUGCAAAAACUUGCUUGUGAUAUAUUGCCUAUUCCCAUAACAUCAGUGGCUUUCGAAUGUGCAUUCAACACUAGUGGCAGAGUACUCAGUGCAUAUCAUAGUAGACUUACUCCUAAUGUGGCUGAAGCUCUCAUGUGCAUGCAAGCUUGGUCUCGUGCAGAUCUGUUAGGUGGUUGGAAUUCUACACUCUUUGCAACAUUUCAGAGUGUUCUCGAGGAUGAAGAAGAGGAGAUGGAUGAGUCUACUUCAAUCAUCACCCAAGAGUGAAGAUAUUGCUGUUGUUUGUGCUUGGUUGGAACUUGGAAGCUGAUGGCUGCUAUUUGUGUUGGUUGGUGGCUCGUGUGUGCUAUCUGUUGUAGCUUCUCUUUGUGUUGGCUCAUCGGUGCCUCGGAUGUUUUCAUUCAUUACUUGUCAGAUGUUAUUUUCUGAAGUGUGUUGUGAGUUUGUGAACCUAUGUUAAAGUUCACCAAUUGUCAAUUUGAAGUGAGAUAAUUGUCAUGUACUCAUCUAUCUGUUAUUGAGUUGAGAUAAUUUUUUUU